rnacentral:snRNA from 1 species
UUUGCUUCUUGGCCUCUUGGCUAAGAUCAAGUGUAAAAAUAAGUAAAUGGUAGUUGAAUGAAAGAAACCAGGAAAAGUUAUUUUUGGAGUGCGUAGGGGGUGCCUCGCCUCCUUGGACCCAUCUCAUUUCUCCCAAGAGCAGACCCAGCUACACUAACUGGGAUCUGCCUCCCGCCU